UCCUCGUUAGUACAGUGAGUAUCCACGGCUGUCACGCGGGAGACCGGGGUUCGAUUCCCCGACGGGGAG
rnacentral:tRNA from 1 species